UACGUAGGGUGCGAGCGUUAAUCGGAAUUACUGGGCGUAAAGCGUGCGCAGGCGGCGCGUUAAGACAGGUGUGAAAGCCCCGAGCUUAACUUGGGAAUUGCGCUUGUGACUGGCGUGCUGGAGUGUGGCAGAGGGAGGUGGAAUUCCUGGUGUAGCGGUGAAAUGCGCAGAUAUCAGGAGGAACACCGGUGGCGAAGGCGGGUCUCUGGGCCGAUACUGACGCUGAGGAGCGAAAGCGUGGGGAGCAAACAGG
rnacentral:rRNA from 1 species